rnacentral:rRNA from 1 species
CCAGACUCCUACGGGAGGCAGCAGUGAGGAAUAUUGGUCAAUGGGCGGGAGCCUGAACCAGCCAAGUCGCGUGAGGGAAGACGGUCCUACGGAUUGUAAACCUCUUUUGCCGGGGAGCAACGGGGUCCUUGCGAGGGCCCAAUGAGAGUACCCGGAGAAAAAGCAUCGGCUAACUCCGUGCCAGCAGCCGCGGUAAUACGGAGGAUGCGAGCGUUAUCCGGAUUUAUUGGGUUUAAAGGGUGCGCAGGCGGUUUGUUAGGUCAGCGGACAAAGCGGGGGGCUCAACCCCAGCCCGCCGUUGAAACUGGCAGUCUCGAGUUGGAGAGAAGUAUGCGGAAUGCGCGGUGUAGCGGUGAAAUGCGUAGAUAUCGCGCAGAACUCCGAUUGCGAAGGCAGCAUGCCGGCUCCACACUGACGCUGAGGCACGAAAGCGUGGGUAUCGAACAGGAUUAGAUACCCCUGUA